UUCGCCCUUAGAGUUUGAUCCUGGCUCAGGACGAACGCUGGCGGCGCGCCUAACACAUGCAAGUCGAACGGAGCUUAGAGAGCUUGCUUUUUAAGCUUAGUGGCGAACGGGUGAGUAACGCGUGAGUAACCUGCCCUAGAGUGGGGGACAACAGUUGGAAACGACUGCUAAUACCGCAUAAGCCCACGGUACCGCAUGAUACUGAGGGAAAAGGAUUUAUUCGCUUUAGGAUGGACUCGCGUCCAAUUAGCUAGUUGGUGAGGUAACGGCCCACCAAGGCGACGAUUGGUAGCCGGACUGAGAGGUUGAACGGCCACAUUGGGACUGAGACACGGCCCAGACUCCUACGGGAGGCAGCAGUGGGGGAUAUUGCACAAUGGGGGAAACCCUGAUGCAGCGACGCCGCGUGGAGGAAGAAGGUUUUCGGAUUGUAAACUCCUGUCGUUAGGGACGAUAAUAACGGUACCUAACAAGAAAGCACCGGCUAACUACGUGCCAGCAGCCGCGGUAAAACGUAGGGUGCAAGCGUUGUCCGGAAUUACUGGGUGUAAAGGGAGCGCAGGCGGACCGGCAAGUUGGAAGUGAAAACUAUGGGCUCAACCCAUAAAUUGCUUUCAAAACUGCUGGCCUUGAGUAGUGCAGAGGUAGGUGGAAUUCCCCGGUGUAGCGGUGGAAUGCGUAGAUAUCGGGAGGAACACCAGUGGCGAAGGCGACCUACUGGGCACCAACUGACGCUGAGGCUCGAAAGCAUGGGUAGCAAACAGGAUUAGAUACCCUGGUAGUCCAUGCCGUAAACGAUGAUUACUAGGUGUUGGAGGAUUGACCCCUUCAGUGCCGCAGUUAACACAAUAAGUAAUCCACCUGGGGAGUACGACCGCAAGGUUGAAACUCAAAGGAAUUGACGGGGGCCCGCACAAGCAGUGGAGUAUGUGGUUUAAUUCGAAGCAACGCGAAGAACCUUACCAGGUCUUGACAUCCGAUGCAUAGCGCAGAGAUGCGUGAAGUCCUUCGGGACAUCGAGACAGGUGGUGCAUGGUUGUCGUCAGCUCGUGUCGUGAGAUGUUGGGUUAAGUCCCGCAACGAGCGCAACCCUUAUUGCCAGUUACUACGUAAGAGGACUCUGGCGAGACUGCCGUUGACAAAACGGAGGAAGGUGGGGAUGACGUCAAAUCAUCAUGCCCUUUAUGACCUGGGCUACACACGUACUACAAUGGCGUUUAACAAAGAGAAGCAAGACCGCGAGGUGGAGCAAAACUCAAAAACAACGUCUCAGUUCAGAUUGCAGGCUGCAACUCGCCUGCAUGAAGUCGGAAUUGCUAGUAAUCGCGGAUCAGCAUGCCGCGGUGAAUACGUUCCCGGGCCUUGUACACACCGCCCGUCA
rnacentral:rRNA from 1 species